AGACCGAAGUUGUCGAGGCUCUCAUAGGCAAACCAUUGCUGGAAGGCCCCCUCUAGACCCAUGAUUUGCACUCCCGAUCUCAAUGGCCGAGAGAAAUCAACCUUGACGUAGGCCCAGGCGAAUUUGACUCUCUUCUCCACCAUGCAGUCGUCCACGAAGGAGAACUCUCCGGCCAGACGAAGGAGUCUCUGCAGCGCCGCCUCACCCCAGAACUCCAUCAAGAGCUGCGGCAGCCUGACUUAAAUAAAAACCAAGCUGAUCGCCCCCUCCAUCGAAAAGAAUCCAGGGCGCCAAGACUCCACUGCCACCACC
rnacentral:lncRNA from 1 species